rnacentral:rRNA from 1 species
AUACGGAGGGUGCAAGCGUUGUUCGGAAUUACUGGGCGUAAAGGGCGCGCAGGCGGCCUGCCAAGUCAGAUGUGAAAUGCCAUGGCUUAACCAUGGACGUGCAUUUGAAACUGGUGGGCUUGAGUACCAGAGGGGAAGGUGGAAUUCCCGGUGUAGAGGUGAAAUUCGUAGAUAUCGGGAGGAAUACCGGUGGCGAAGGCGACUUUCUGGCUGGAUACUGACGCUGAGGCGCGAAAGCGUGGGGAGCAAACAGGAUUAGAUACCCUGGUAGUCCACGCUGUAAACGAUGUGAACUAGAUGUAGGGGGUGUUGAUCCCCUCUGUGUCGGAGCUAACGCAUUAAGUUCACCGCCUGGGGAGUACGGUCGCAAGAUUAAA